rnacentral:rRNA from 1 species
AACGUAGGUUCCGAGCGUUAUCCGGAUUUACUGGGCGUAAAGCGCGUUCAGGCGGUUUGGCAAGUCGGGCAUGAAAUCCUUCGGCUCAGCCGGGGGAGGUUGUCCGAUACUGCUGAACUGGAGGGCAGUAGAGGGUGGUGGAAUUCCGGGUGUAGUGGUGAAAUGCGUAGAUAUCGGGAGGAACACCAGUGGCGAAGGCGACUACCUGGCCUGUUUCUUGACGCUGAGGCGCGAAAGCUAGGGGAGCAAACGGG